rnacentral:rRNA from 1 species
AUGGCGUUCCCCUCCCUGCCCCCCAACCCCUCGUCGGCGGCGGCGGCGUGGCGGCGGCGCUCCGGCCUCCUCGCGCUCCUCCUGCUCCUCCUCUUCCUCUCCUUCCAGGUCGUCGUCCACGUCCCCUCCGUCAGAUCGGCGGUGUCGCGGCGGCUCUUCUCCGACCACCGCCACCGAGCCGCCCGCGAGGCCGGUCACCGGAGCUGCCCUGGGUGCGGCGAUCUGCAGGACGUGGAGGAUUUCAACAAGACCGUCGCGUACACCGACCAGGAUGGCCGGAUCAAGCUGUUCAAGGUCACCGCCAGGGAGUUCGCGUCCUCCUCUAUCUGGGAGAACCCUCUGCUGCCCAGAGAUAGCCAGCCGCCUGCCGAAAUUCAAGAGACCGCGGAGGAGCAGCCACUGGACACCGGAUCAGAGGCCAACAAUCUUUCAAGUGCAGCGGUUUUGGCAGCCCAAAGACCCGAUCCGAUAAAGCUAAAGCGAGAGGUAUUUCGACGUAGAAGAAAGGAGCAGCGGAUUCAAGAGUUGCUUCAGAUGGACAAGGAGGCCGAGCUCCAGAUGCGAAAUGCGGCCACAAACAGCUCGAGGAACUUCGAUAAUAAAGUGAAAGUCAGUUACAAUAUAUGGAGGCAGGAGUUCCACCACACAAAUACAGACUCCACGGUGAAGCUCAUGAACGAUCAGAUAAUAAUGGCCAAGGUGUACGCCACCAUUGCACGUUCCCAGAACGAGACCGACUUGUAUGCAUCACUCAUGAAGUGCAUAAAAGAAAGCAAAGCAGCUAUCGGGGAUGCCAAUAUGGACAGUGAACUGGAUUCAAGCGCUUUAGAGAGAGCAAAAGCAAUGGGGCAUGUGUUGUCUUCAGCUAGAGAUGUUCUGUACAACUCUGAUGAAGUGUCGAGAAGAUUACGUGUUAUGCUGCAGUCCGCGGAACUUAAUAUCGACACUGCGAAAAAGCAAAACACGUUCCUGGUUCAGCAUGCUGCAAAGACGGUUCCCAUGCCCUUGCACUGCCUACAUAUGCAGUUGAUAACCGAUUAUCAUCUCCGUGAUGGUGUGAUCAAGGAGUACUUUCAAGCUGCUGCUUUGAAGGACGAAGAAGAUAAAGCAAAGCUUGAGGAUCGGUCACUCUAUCACUAUGCUAUAUUUUCUGAUAAUGUCCUUGCAGCCUCAGUAGUUGUCAGAUCAACCGUGACAAAUGCCAAGGAGCCAAAUAAGCAUGUGUUCCACAUCGUCACUGACAAGCUUAAUUUUGCAGCUAUGAAGAUGUGGUUCAUCAGUCAUUCUCCCCGCCCUGCUACUGUCCAUGUGGAGAACAUUGACAAUUUCAAGUGGCUCAAUUCGUCUUAUUGUUUGGUUAUGCGGCAACUUGACUCAGCUCGUCUCAAGGAAUUUUACUUUAAAGCACAUGAUCCGUCAUCACUCUCUGAUGGGACUGAAAAUCUGAAGUACAGGAACCCAAAAUAUUUGUCUAUGCUCAACCAUCUAAGGUUCUACAUGCCAGAGAUACAUCCCAAGCUUGACAAGAUCCUGUUUCUUGAUGAUGAUGUUGUUGUGCAGAAGGACUUGACACCCCUCUGGGACGUUGAUCUUAAAGGGAUGGUAAAUGGUGCUGUUGAAACCUGCAAAGAAAGUUUCCAUCGCUUCGACACUUAUCUCAACUUCUCACAUCCUAAGAUCUCUGAGAACUUUGAUCCACGUGCUUGUGGUUGGGCUUUUGGAAUGAACAUGUUUGACCUGAAGGAGUGGAGGAAGCGAAACAUCACUGGAAUAUACCAUUAUUGGCAAAAUUUGAAUGAGGAUCGCAAGUUGUGGAAGCUGGGCACAUUACCUCCAGGACUAAUUACAUUCUACAAUUUGACACACCCAUUGGAUCACACUUGGCAUGUCUUGGGCCUUGGCUACGAUCCUGCUGUUGACAUUGCUGAAAUCGAGAAUGCAGCGGUAGUUCACUACAAUGGGAAUUACAAGCCCUGGCUGGACCUUGCCGUUUCCAAGUACAAGGCCUACUGGUCCAAGUAUGUCGAUGUUGACAGCUCACACAUUCAGCGUUGCUACGCAAGCAAACAAUGA